AGAGUUUGAUCCUGGCUCAGGACGAACGCUGGCGGCGUGCUUAACACAUGCAAGUCGAACGGUGACGGAGGAGCUUGCUCCUCCUGAUCAGUGGCGAACGGGUGAGUAACACGUGAGCAAUCUGCCCCUGACUCUGGGAUAACUUCGGGAAACCGUAGCUAAUACCGGAUAUGACGCGCGAAGGCAUCUUCUGCGCGUGGAAAGAAUUUCGGUCAAGGAUGGACUCGCGGCCUAUCAGCUAGUUGGUGAGGUAAUGGCUCACCAAGGCGACGACGGGUAGCCGGCCUGAGAGGGUGACCGGCCACACUGGGACUGAGACACGGCCCAGACUCCUACGGGAGGCAGCAGUGGGGAAUAUUGCACAAUGGGCGAAAGCCUGAUGCAGCAACGCCGCGUGAGGGACGACGGCCUUCGGGUUGUAAACCUCUUUUAGUAGGGAAGAAGCGAAAGUGACGGUACCUGCAGAAAAAGCACCGGCUAACUACGUGCCAGCAGCCGCGGUAAUACGUAGGGUGCAAGCGUUGUCCGGAAUUAUUGGGCGUAAAGAGCUCGUAGGCGGUUUGUCGCGUCUGCUGUGAAAACUGGGGGCUCAACCCCCAGCCUGCAGUGGGUACGGGCAGACUAGAGUGCGGUAGGGGAGAUUGGAAUUCCUGGUGUAGCGGUGGAAUGCGCAGAUAUCAGGAGGAACACCGAUGGCGAAGGCAGAUCUCUGGGCCGCUACUGACGCUGAGGAGCGAAAGCGUGGGGAGCGAACAGGAUUAGAUACCCUAGUAGUCC
rnacentral:rRNA from 1 species